rnacentral:rRNA from 1 species
GAUGAACGCUGGCGGCGUGCCUAAUACAUGCAAGUCGAGCGAACGGACGAGAAGCUUGCUUCUCUGAUGUUAGCGGCGGACGGGUGAGUAACACGUGGAUAACCUACCUAUAAGACUGGGAUAACUUCGGGAAACCGGAGCUAAUACCGGAUAAUAUUUUGAACCGCAUGGUUCAAAAGUGAAAGACGGUCUUGCUGUCACUUAUAGAUGGAUCCGCGCUGCAUCAGCUAGUUGGUAAGGUAACGGCUUACCAAGGCAACGAUGCAUAGCCGACCUGAGAGGGUGAUCGGCCACACUGGAACGGAGACACGGUCCAGACUCCUACGGGAGGCAGCAGUAGGGAAUCUUCCGCAAUGGGCGAAAGCCUGACGGAGCAACGCCGCGUGAGUGAUGAAGGUCUUCGGAUCGUAAAACUCUGUUAUUAGGGAAGAACAUAUGUGUAAGUAACUGUGCACAUCUUGACGGUACCUAAUCAGAAAGCCACGGCUAACUACGUG